GAUGAAGAACGCAGCGAAAUGCGAUAAGUGAUGUGAAUUGCAGAAUUCAGUGAAUCAUCGAAUCUUUGAACGCACAUUGCGCCCAUUAGUAUUCUAGUGGGCAUGCCUGUUCGAGCGUCAUUAAGUCCACUUAAGCCCUGCUUAGUGUUGGGAGACUGCUCCAGCGGUGCUACCCUGUAGCUACCCUGCAGCUCCUCAAAGACAGCGGCGGAGUUGUGGUAUCCUCUGAGCUUAGUAACUUGUUCUAGCUUUCGAGUACACCACUUCCCCUGCCGUAAAACCCUUAAUUUUUAAUGGUUGACCUCGGAUCAGGUAGGAAUACCCGCUGAACUUAAGCAUAUCAAUAAGCGGAGGA
rnacentral:misc_RNA from 1 species